rnacentral:rRNA from 1 species
GUAGGGAAUCUUCCGCAAUGGGCGAAAGCCUGACGGAGCAACGCCGCGUGAGUGAUGAAGGUCUUCGGAUCGUAAAACUCUGUUAUUAGGGAAGAACAUAUGUGUAAGUAACUGUGCACAUCUUGACGGUACCUAAUCAGAAAGCCACGGCUAACUACGUGCCAGCAGCCGCGGUAAUACGUAGGUGGCAAGCGUUAUCCGGAAUUAUUGGGCGUAAAGCGCGCGUAGGCGGUUUUUUAAGUCUGAUGUGAAAGCCCACGGCUCAACCGUGGAGGGUCAUUGGAAACUGGAAAACUUGAGUGCAGAAGAGGAAAGUGGAAUUCCAUGUGUAGCGGUGAAAUGCGCAGAGAUAUGGAGGAACACCAGUGGCGAAGGCGACUUUCUGGUCUGUAACUGACGCUGAUGUGCGAAAGCGUGGGGAUCAAACAGGAUUAGAUACCCUGGUAGUCCACGCCGUAAACGAUGAGUGCUAAGUGUUAGGGGGUUUCCGCCCCUUAGUGCUGCAGCUAACGCAUUAAGCACUCCGCCUGGGGAGUACGACCGCAAGGUUGAAACUCAAAGGAAUUG